CUUAUCAAGAGUGGCGGAGGGAACGGCCCGAUGAAGCCCGGCAACCUGUGUUUACAAGGUGCCAAAUCCGGCGUUGGACGAAAGAUGAGG
rnacentral:ncRNA from 1 species